CAGAGUAGGGACAGCGCGUCAAGUGCCGGCCGGAUGGGAGGUUGCCGCCGGACGAAAGGAGUAAGAUCCUGCGUUGCUGUGCUCGCAUCCGCUGC
rnacentral:ncRNA from 1 species